CCUACGGGGGGCAGCAGUGAGGAAUAUUGCGCAAUGGCCGAAAGGCUGACGCAGCGACGCCGCGUGAGGGAUGAAGUCCGUUAGGAUGUAAACCUCUUUUGCAGGGGAUGAAUGUCUCGCUACAUGCGGGAUUGACAGUACCCUGUGAAUAAGGAUCGGCUAACUACGUGCCAGCAGCCGCGGUAAUACGUAGGAUCCGAGCGUUGUCCGGAUUUACUGGGUGUAAAGGGCGUGUAGGUGGACCGAUAAUGAAAUCCUGCGGCUCAACCGCAGAAUUGCUUUCGAAACUGGAGGUCUUGAGUGCGGCAGAGGGAGAUGGAAUUCAUGGUGUAGCGGUGAAAUGUGUAGAUAUCAUGAAGAACACCGGUAGCGAAGGCGGUCUCCUGGUCCGCAACUGACACUGAGGCGCGAAAGCGUGGGGAGCAAACAGGAUUAGAUACCCUAGUAGUC
rnacentral:rRNA from 1 species